GAGGGGGGAGAGGAGCAGAGGGCAGAGGAGUGGUUUCUGAUUAGUUUGAAAGGUCCAGGGUGUCAUCUGCAAAAUUCGUACAUCUGGGCCGGACUGCUCGUGGGCCCUGCUUCCUCUGGGCCAAAAUUGUCACCGAGAUAAUGAGAUAUUGAGAUGUACCAUAAAUUUUCGCAACAUGGUCAUUUCGGAUCUUUUAGUUUGGAAGGCCAAAGUUAAGUGGCAGACGUGCUUCCGAGAUACUAGGUGAGAGUUCCAAAAUGACACACAUCUCUGCACGUUGAAAGAUACUUUUUUUUUCAAAACAUAGUAUAGACGAAAAAUGCUCAUAGACUCACGCGUGCGCAUACAUAAUUUGUGUAACUACAAAAAGCAUGUAGGCUGACACACAUGUGCCAUCUUUCAAAACAACACAAUAAAGUUUGUGCAAGCUCAAUCCAAAAUUCCCAAUACCUUCCUAAACUACCGCGUGCUCAGAUGGUCUGGAACAUAGUGUGAACUAGUUCUCCUUGUACGUCUCUCUCUCUCCUAUCACUCACAUAGCAACACAAGCAAUCAAACAAGAAGGAUACUGCUAUCCUCGUCUUAAAAGACGAGCAAAGAAAAUAGUAGAGGAUGUUCGGAUACA
rnacentral:lncRNA from 1 species